AGCUGCAACGAGCAAACACAAACAAGCUUUUUUGAGACAGACGUGUUUUUCUUCUGCUGACAAUUUGUGAAGCCACAGAGGAAAAUGCAAUGGGAGUUGGGUAGUGGCAUGAAUACAAGACGCACUCGCAUCAGGUUUUUCACUUGGGCGUCUUGGCAUGAAAGAUGCACUUUGAGAUCGGCACGUCGUACCUGACACGAAUGUCAAAUCAAUUUGAACAUCAAGUUUUUGUAUAAAGAAUGGGAAUCUAUUGGGCACAAACCACCUUCACUUAGCAGCUGGACCAGGAAACAACACUUGCUUGACAAUUUCAAGCACUUUGGUACAGCUGCAGACGAACUUCUAACUGAAGAGGAGGAUAUUGUUACCACAUCUGUUCAAGUGCUCUGGUGGGAUGAGCUGAUGGUGUCACAUUACGACAGGAGCUGAGUCUUGUUAGCCUGAAAUAACCGGGGACGUUGCCAAGAUGGCUGCCAAGUGGUGGGACGCUGACGUCAGGCACACAACUCGUCUGUCUAGGUUUUGAUUUUUCUACAUUUUUAAGCAUUGUGAGUUACUUCCAAGGGAAAGGGGCAAAUCCCUCAACCACAGCCAAGGUAAUUGGAGAAAACGUUAGCAUUAUGUAUAUUGGCUAGUAAUUAUCCUAAAAGCCUUCUCUUUCUUUCGUUUAACAUUAAAAGUUUAAAUGUUUAGCAUGAAAAUACAAACAAGUAGGUUAUAUGUUAGCUAACAAUGCUAUUUAUCUAGCUACAUGUAUUUAAUUCAACUAAAGAAGAUGCUAACUUUUGGUGUGGGACAUGUAGCUUUAGCCCUGUAGCCAUCUUAUUUCAGAGGGCUCUGUUGCUGUGUGUUGAGCUGGAAGCCAGUCAUAAGCAUAGGUUAGUGGAGGCCAUUUCUAAACUAAUGUUAGCGACUGCUGCUUUUUGUUAGCAGAGUCGAGAGAGCCA